UUGUCAGAUUACAAAAACCAUCGUAAUGGUAUCAAGAGGCCAAAGUCGCAUCGAUAUCCAUCAUUAAAAGGGGUGGAUCAAAAAUUCUUGAAAAAACAUGAGGUUUGCAAAGAAACACAAUGUACGCCAUCCACAGCAGGUCAAGAAAGAAUAAACCCUGACCGGAUCUACUGUUAACAUCAAAGACUGUUUGCUGUAUUGAUGAAUACGUCUAUCAACAUCGUUUGUAGAUUUUCUUGAUGUUAAUAAAAACUGCAGACAGUUAAGACAGUAUUUUGUUUUGCUGAA